rnacentral:rRNA from 1 species
AUGGAGGAUCUAGUAGUUGAAGGGACCGAUGGGGCAUCGAAGGCGGUGCUGAUAGAGACGCAGUCUGGGGGCGGUUUCGCGGGAAGUAGAGAGGCGGGGGCUGGACAGGAGAAGGAGGCGGUCGAUGGGGAGGAAGUGGGAAGUAAGGAGAGGGAGAGGGAGGAAGAUCGGGAGGAGGAAGAUGAUGAGGAGUUCGGCCAUCUGGGUCCAGAUCCAAACCUGGAAGAUGCGUUCAAAGGCAUGAACUUGCAUGGGGAGGAAGAAGAAGACCUAGACCUGUCUGGAGAGGUGGAUGAUCUGAUUAGGGAGGUGCGCUGGUUGGCUCUGUUUAGGGUUCACACGAUGAGACCGUUUAGCCAUGCGGCGUUGCUAAAUUCGAUGAGGAACGCGUGGACAUGUGCGCAAGGGGUCACGUUUAAUAUCAAGGGGCCGAAUCUGUUCUUGGCUCAAUGCCAUUGUCUUGGAGACUGGAAGAGGGUAAUGGAGGGUGGUCCAUGGUAGUUUCAAAGGGAUUCAGUGAUUCUUGUUGAAUAUGAUGGCUUCACCGAUGUGGCGGAGUAUGCACUGGACAUGUAUCCUCAAUGGGCGCGUAUUAAAGGCCUCCUGGACGGCCUCACUGUUGGGGAACGUAGUAAUUUCAAAAUUUUCCUACGUACACGCAAGAUCAUGGUGAUGCAUAGCAACGAGAGAGGAGAGUGUUGUCCAUGUACCCUCGUAGACCGAAAGCGGAAGCGUUAG